rfam:Danio rerio chromosome 5, GRCz11 reference primary assembly.
CAUUUAUGUUAUUGUAAGUCGCUUUGGAUAAAAUCGUCUGCUAAAUGACUAAAU